CUAUCAUGCAAGUCGAGCGAAUGGAUUAAGAGCUUGCUCUUAUGAAGUUAGCGGCGGACGGGUGAGUAACACGUGGGUAACCUGCCCAUAAGACUGGGAUAACUCCGGGAAACCGGGGCUAAUACCGGAUAACAUUUUGAACCGCAUGGUUCGAAAUUGAAAGGCGGCUUCGGCUGUCACUUAUGGAUGGACCCGCGUCGCAUUAGCUAGUUGGUGAGGUAACGGCUCACCAAGGCAACGAUGCGUAGCCGACCUGAGAGGGUGAUCGGCCACACUGGGACUGAGACACGGCCCAGACUCCUACGGGAGGCAGCAGUAGGGAAUCUUCCGCAAUGGACGAAAGUCUGACGGAGCAACGCCGCGUGAGUGAUGAAGGCUUUCGGGUCGUAAAACUCUGUUGUUAGGGAAGAACAAGUGCUAGUUGAAUAAGCUGGCACCUUGACGGUACCUAACCAGAAAGCCACGGCUAACUACGUGCCAGCAGCCGCGGUAAUACGUAGGUGGCAAGCGUUAUCCGGAAUUAUUGGGCGUAAAGCGCGCGCAGGUGGUUUCUUAAGUCUGAUGUGAAAGCCCACGGCUCAACCGUGGAGGGUCAUUGGAAACUGGGAGACUUGAGUGCAGAAGAGGAAAGUGGAAUUCCAUGUGUAGCGGUGAAAUGCGUAGAGAUAUGGAGGAACACCAGUGGCGAAGGCGACUUUCUGGUCUGUAACUGACACUGAGGCGCGAAAGCGUGGGGAGCAAACAGGAUUAGAUAC
rnacentral:rRNA from 1 species